rnacentral:rRNA from 1 species
UAACACAUGCAAGUCGAUGGGGAAGCGGCGCUUGCGCCGUGGCAACCAUGGCGGACGGGUGAGUAACGCGUAAAGAACUUGCCGGAUGGACCGGGAUAACAGCUGGAAACGGCUGGCAAGACCGGAUACUGUGGGCUGGCCGCAUGGCUGGCCCAUGAAAAGGGAUGCCGUCCGAGAGCUUUGCGUCCUAUUAGCUGGUUGGUAAGGUGACGGCUUACCAAGGCGAUGAUAGGUAGCCGGCCUGAGAGGGUGGACGGCCACAAGGGGACUGAGAUACGGCCCUUACUCCUACGGGAGGCAGCAGUGGGGAAUAUUGGACAAUGGGGGCAACCCUGAUCCAGCAAUUCUGUGUGCACGAAGAAGGUUUUCGGAUCGUAAAGUGCUUUCAGCAGGGAGGAAGGAAGUGACUGUACCUGCAGAAGAAGCGACGGCUAAAUACGUGCCAGCAGCCGCGGUAAUACGUAUGUCGCGAGCGUUAUCCGGAAUUAUUGGGCAUAAAGGGCAUCUAGGCGGCCGGGUAAGUCCGGGGUGAAAACUGCUGGCUCAACCAGCAGCCUGCCUUGGAAACUACCCGGCUUGAGUGCUGGAGAGGUGGACGGAACUGCACGAGUAGAGGUGAAAUUCGUAGAUAUGUGCAGGAAUGCCGAUGAUGAAGAUAGUUCACUGGACGGCAACUGACGCUGAAGUGCGAAAGCUAGGGGAGCGAACAGGAUUAGAUACCCUGGUAGUCCUAGCUGUAAACGAUGAUUACUGGGUGUGGGCAUGAAGAGUGUCCGUGCCGAAGCUAAUGCGAUAAGUAAUCCGCCUGGGGAGUACGGCCGCAAGGCUGAAAC